CGGGGUGAGUAAUGUCUGGGAAACUGCCUGAUGAGGGGGGAUAACUACUGGAAACGGUAGCUAAUACCGCAUAACGUCUUCGGACCAAAGUGGGGGACCUUCGGGCCUCACGCCAUCGGAUGUGCCCAGAUGGGAUUAGCUAGUAGGUGGGGUAAUGGCUCACCUAGGCGACGAUCCCUAGCUGGUCUGAGAGGAUGACCAGCCACACUGGAACUGAGACACGGUCCAG
rnacentral:rRNA from 1 species